UAAUCUACGUACUCAAACCCGUAUGCAACGUUUUAAAAAUACAACGGAACUACUUGAUGCUUUCAAAAGCAUACAAUUGAAACCAGAUUACACACACAAGAUGGAUAACAAGUAGAAUAUCGAGCCUUUAGCCAACGCAAAUAGUCGAGAAAUGGUCGUCAAAUGCUUCAACUGUAACUCCAAAGGACAUAUGGCCCCUGAAUGUCGCAAGCCCAAAAGAACACCUGGAGCGUGUUUCGUUUGCAAUGAAAUGGGCCACAUUUCAAUAAACUGUAGCAAACGCAACGACUUGGAACUACGAGAAAAUAUGAAAACCAGCAACAAAAAACACUAAUUGACACUGGAAGCCCUAUCAGUUUAAUAUGUGAGGAGAAGGUACCCAAGAAACUUAUUGAAGACUAUUCUUUUGUUCAAAAUUAUUACGGAAUAAAUAAAAGUAAACUUAUAAUCAUUGGAGUAAUAAAAUAAAGAGAAUAAAUAAAAGAGAA